rnacentral:tRNA from 1 species
GAGGUGUUAGUUAAAUCAUAACUUUUCCUUGUCAAGGCAACAUUACAAGUUAAACCCCUGUACAUCUCU